GACGAACCGUGCAAACGUUGUUCGGAAUUACUGGGCGUAAAGCGCGCGUAGGCGGAUCUGCAAGUCGGGGGUGAAAUCCCGAGGCUCAACCUCGGAACUGCCUUCGAUACUGCGGGUCUCGAGUCCGGGAGAGGUGAGUGGAAUUCCUAGUGUAGAGGUGAAAUUCGUAGAUAUUAGGAAGAACACCAGUGGCGAAGGCGGCUCACUGGCCCGGUACUGACGCUGAGGCGCGAAAGCGUGGGGAGCAAACAGGG
rnacentral:rRNA from 1 species